rnacentral:rRNA from 1 species
GACGAACGCUGGCGGCGUGCUUAACAUAUGCAAGUCGAGCGGUAAGGCCCUUUCGGGGGUACACGAGCGGCGAACGGGUGAGUAACACGUGGGUGACCUGCCCUCAGCUCUGGGAUAAGCCUGGGAAACUGGGUCUAAUACUGGAUAUGACUCCACGGUGCAUGUCGUGGGGUGGAAAGCCUUGUGCGGCUGAGGAUGGGCCCGCGGCCUAUCAGCUUGUUGGGGGGUGAUGGCCUACCAAGGCGACGACGGGUAGCCGGCCUGAGAGGGCGACCGGCCACACUGGGACUGAGACACGGCCCAGACUCCUACGGGAGGCAGCAGUGGGGAAUCUUGCGCAAUGGGCGAAAGCCUG